UUUUUUGAGAUAGAAAAUUUUUCAAUAAGUUCCCGAUAUAUGAUAUAUACAAUUCAAUAAAAAAUUUCGAUAAAGCAUAGUUUUCCGUUUUAUUUCAGAGUAGAGCAAUGAAUCGGCAAGGCGCGUCACGGCGCGGUUGUUUCGUGACCUUCGCACAAAUCAAGAUUGGUGCAUGCGAGCGCGUCCCUUCGGACAGAUAUUGAAUCAUAGAGUGAAAUGUUUUCUUGGGUUAACGAAUGAAUAGUAUCAAAUCGAAAAGUAGAAUCAAGUUAACGGCAUCAUCAUUGAGUCAUUGAACGGAUUGAAAGAAGGGAAAAUCGCAUUGGCCUCGAUAAUAUCCAAGAAGCGCGCCUGCGUAAUGAUUACAAGUCUAUCUACGAUCAACUAAGAAUUUUUAAGAUAAUUAUGUAACAACAUAAUUUGGUUGUUAAAGAGAAAAUAAUUAUAAAUGUGAUAAUUGGCAACUUUAAUGAAGGUGUGAUAAUAAUAAUGAUUCACGUUUAAAGUUUUGUAUGUCAUUUUUCGACGUCAUGAUCGUGAAUAGUUCAAGGUUGCGACAAUUUGAAUAAAAAUAGUAUUUUAAAAUUAUUUCAAUAUUGUUUAACAUCUUAAAUUUACAAAAAUAUUUUGUUCUUUUCUACUUUCAAAAUUUACAUUAAAAAUUAACUUUCAUAUAAUAUAUAGAUUUUAUCAAUUUAUUGACAACAUUAUACGCUAAUGAAUUGUUGUUAAUAUAAAGUAUAGUAUGAGAGUAUAGUAUGAGAAAAGAAAUGUAUGCACGGAUGAGAUCAAAGUUAUUUGAAUGAAUGAUGAUAUAAUUUCUAUAAGUGAGUGCUUUCGUUCCAUCCUUUUCUUAUUAUAUUUUAUAUUUCUCGUUAAUUGUUUUGUUUGUGCGCAAAAAAAAAAAAAAA